UCAAUAAGCGGAGGAAAAGAAACCAACAGGGAUUGCCUCAGUAACGGCGAGUGAAGCGGCAACAGCUCAAAUUUGAAAUCUGGCCUCACGGUCCGAGUUGUAAUUUGUAGAGGAUGCUUUUGGCGAGGUGCUUUCCGAGUUCCCUGGAACGGGACGCCAUAGAGGGUGAGAGCCCCGUACGGUAAGACCACCGAGCCUCUGUAAAGCUCCUUCGACGAGUCGAGUAGUUUGGGAAUGCUGCUCUAAAUGGGAGGUGUACGUCUUCUAAAGCUAAAUACCGGCCAGAGACCGAUAGCGCACAAGUAGAGUGAUCGAAAGAUGAAAAGCACUUUGAAAAGAGGGUUAAAAAGUACGUGAAAUUGUUGAAAGGGAAGCAUUCAUGACCAGACUUGGGCUUGGUUGAACAUCCGGCGUUCUCGCCGGUGCACUCUGCCAGUCCAGGCCAGCAUCAGUUUGCCCCGGGGGACAAAGGCGGUGGGAAUGUGGCUCUCUUCGGGGAGUGUUAUAGCCCGCCGUGUAAUGCCCUGGGGCGGACUGAGGAACGCGCUUCGGCACGGAUGCUGGCGUAAUGGUCAUCAAUGACCCGUCUUGAAACACGGACCAAGGAGUCGUCUUCGUAUGCGAGUGUUCGGGUGUCAAACCCCUACGCGUAAUGAAAGUGAACGUAGGUGAGAGCUUCGGCGCAUCACCGACCGAUCCUGAUGUUCUCGGAUGGAUUUGAGUAAGAGCAUACGGGGCCGGACCCGAAAGAAGGUGAACUAUGCCUGUAUAGGGUGAAGCCAGAGGAAACUCUGGUGGAGGCUCGCAGCGGUUCUGACGUGCAAAUCGAUCGUCAAAUAUGGGCAUGGGGGCGAAAGACUAAUCGAACCUUCUAGUAGCUGGUUUCCGCCGAAGUUUCCCUCAGGAUAGCAGUGUUGAACUCAGUUUUAUGAGGUAAAGCGAAUGAUUAGGGACCCGGGGGCGCUAUUUAGCCUUCAUCCAUUCUCAAACUUUAAAUAUGUAAGAAGCCCUUGUUGCUUAAUUGAACGUGGGCAUUCGAAUGUAUCAACACUAGUGGGCCAUUUUUGGUAAGCAGAACUGGCGAUGCGGGAUGAACCGAACGCGAGGUUAAGGUGCCAGAGUAGACGCUCAUCAGACACCACAAAAGGUGUUAGUACAUCUUGACAGCAGGACGGUGGCCAUGGAAGUCGGAAUCCGCUAAGGACUGUGUAACAACUCACCUGCCGAAUGUACUAGCCCUGAAAAUGGAUGGCGCUCAAGCGUCUCACCCAUACCUCGCCCUCAGGGUUGAAAUGAUGCCCUGAGGAGUAGGCGGACGUAGAGGUCAGUGACGAAGCCUAGGGCGUGAGCCCGGGUAGAACGGCCUCUA
rnacentral:rRNA from 1 species